UACGAAGGGUGCAAGCGUUGUUCGGAAUUACUGGGCGUAAAGGGCGCGUAGGCGGGUUUGUAAGUCGGUUGUGAAAUCCCUGGGCUUAACCCGGGAACUGCAGUCGAAACUGCAAAUCUUGAAUACCUGAGAGGAUGGCGGAAUUCCCGGUGUAGUAGUGAAAUACGUAGAUAUCGGGAAGAACACCUGAGGCGAAGGCGGCUAUCUGGACAAUUGCUGACGCUCAGGCACGAAAGCGUGGGUAGCAAACAGG
rnacentral:rRNA from 1 species